rnacentral:tRNA from 1 species
GCCUAGUUAGCUUAGUUAGUACUGCGUCUGCCUUGUAAGCGCUAGGCCGCGGGUUCGAUUCCCGCCCGGGGCG